rnacentral:rRNA from 1 species
AACGUAGGUCCCGAGCGUUAUCCGGAUUUACUGGGCGUAAAGCGCGUGCAGGCGGCCGUGCAAGUCGGGCAUGAAAUCUCUCGGCUCAACCGGGAGAGGCUGUCCGAUACUGCGCGGCUUGAGGACGGAAGAGGCGGGUGGAAUUCCGCAUGUAGUGGUGAAAUGCGUAGAGAUGCGGAGGAACACCAGUGGCGAAAGCGGCCCGCUGGCCCGCUCCUGACGCUCAGACGCGAAAGCUCGGGGAGCGAAC